rnacentral:rRNA from 1 species
AACGAACGCUGGCGGCAUGCCUAACACAUGCAAGUCGAACGAGACCUUCGGGUCUAGUGGCGCACGGGUGCGUAACGCGUGGGAACCUGCCCUUAGGUUCGGAAUAACUCCCCGAAAGGGGUGCUAAUACCGGAUAAUGUCUUCGGACCAAAGAUUUAUCGCCUUUGGAUGGGCCCGCGUUGGAUUAGCUAGUUGGUAGGGUAAAAGCCUACCAAGGCGACGAUCCAUAGCUGGUCGGAGAGGAUGACCAGCCACACUGGGACUGAGACACGGCCCAGACUCCUACGGGAGGCAGCAGUGGGGAAUAUUGGACAAUGGGCGAAAGCCUGAUCCAGCAAUGCCGCGUGAGUGAGGAAGGCCUUAGGGUUGUAAAGCUCUUUUACCCGGGAUGAUAAUGACAGUACCGGGAGAAUAAGCUCCGGCUAACUCCGUG